rnacentral:rRNA from 3 species
GGUCUGAGAGGAUGAUCCGCCACACUGGGACUGAGACACGGCCCAGACUCCUACGGGAGGCAGCAGUGGGGAAUAUUGGACAAUGGGCGGAAGCCUGAUCCAGCCAUGCCGCGUGUGUGAAGAAGGCCUUUUGGUUUGUAAAGCACUUUAAGCGAGGAGGAGGCUCCCUUUAGUUAAUACCUAAAGAGAGUGGACGUUACUCGCAGAAUAAGCACCGGCUAACUCUGUGCCAGCAGCCGCGGUAAUACAGAGGGGUGCGAGCGUUAAUCGGAUUUACUGGGCGUAAAGCGUGCGUAGGCGGCUUUUUAAGUCGGAUGUGAAAUCCUUGAGCUUAACUUAGGAAUUGCAUUCGAU